rnacentral:rRNA from 1 species
UUUGGCUUUAUGCCCUCUGAAAUCUCCACCCUUUGUUUACAUUACCUUUGUUGUUGCCUCGGUGGGUGCCUAUGCACCUGCCGGCAGACACCUUAAAACCCUUGAUUAACACUAUAGUCAGAGCUGUAACAAGCAAAAAUUUAAUAAAUUAAAACUUUUAACAACGGAUCUCUUGGUUCUGGCAUCGAUGAAGAACGCAGCGAAAUGCGAUAAGUAAUGUGAAUUGCAGAAUUCAGUGAAUCAUCGAAUCUUUGAACGCACAUUGCGCCCUUUGGUAUUCCGAAGGGCACACCUGUUCGAGCGUCAUUACACCAAUCAAGUCUUACUUGGUAUUGGGCUCUUUGUCCCUAUUUUUUAGGGACAGGCCUUAAAGACAUUGGCGGCAUAGUCCGGCUUCGAGCGUAGCAAAAACAUCGCUUUUGGAGUUAACUGGAUUAUUGUUCCUUGUCCAUAAAAUUAGAGUAGAAAUACUCGACUUUUUCUAAAGGUUGACCUCGGAUCAGGUGGGGAUACCCGCUGAACUUAAGCAUAUCAAUAAGCGGAGGA